GACGAACGCUGGCGGCGUGCUUAACACAUGCAAGUCGAACGGUAAGGCUCCAGCUUGCUGGGGUACACGAGUGGCGAACGGGUGAGUAACACGUGGGUGACCUGCCCUGCACUUCGGGAUAAGCCUGGGAAACUGGGUCUAAUACCGGAUAGGACCAUGGUGUGGAUACUGUGGUGGAAAGUUUUUUCGGUGUGGGAUGGGCCCGUGGCCUAUCAGCUUGUUGGUGGGGUAAUGGCCUACCAAGGCGGCGACGGGUAGCCGGCCUGAGAGGGUGGACGGCCACAUUUGGACUGAGACACGGCCCAGACUCCUACGGGAGGCAGCAGUGGGGAAUAUUGCACAAUGGGCGGAAGCCUGAUGCAGCGACGCCGCGUGGGGGAUGACGGCCUUCGGGUUGUAAACUCCUUUCACCAUCGACGAAGGGUUUCUGACGGUAGAUGGAGAAGAAGCACCGGCUAACUACGUG
rnacentral:rRNA from 1 species